rnacentral:lncRNA from 1 species
GUUUUCUUCACAGAUAGGACAUGCUUUAUGACCCUUGACACUGUAUCCUGACAAAUUACCAUAAGCUGGAAAGUCAUUAAUGGUGCAAAAUAACAUUGCACGCAUCACAAAAGUUUCAGAAGCGAAUGCAUCAAAUAUUUCAACCCCAUCAACCCACAAAAAACUUCAAGUAUUCAACUAGUGGGCUUAGAUAAACAUCUAUGUCAUUUCCCGACUGCUUUGGACCAGAUAUCAUCAUAGACAACAUCAUGUACUUCCUCUUCAUGCACAAUGCAGGAGAUAAGUUGUAAAUUAUCAAUAUAACUGACCAAUAACUGUGAUUGGUACUCAGAUUACCAAAUGGGUUCAUUCCAUCAGUGGCUAAACCAAGCCUAAGAUUUCUAC